UACGUAGGGUGCAAGCGUUGUCCGGAAUUAUUGGGCGUAAAGAGCUCGUAGGCGGUUUGUCGCGUCUGCUGUGAAAACGCGGGGCUCAACUCCGCGCCUGCAGUGGGUACGGGCAGACUAGAGUGCAGUAGGGGAGACUGGGAUUCCUGGUGUAGCGGUGGAAUGCGCAGAUAUCAGGAGGAACACCGGUGGCGAAGGCGGGUCUCUGGGCUGUAACUGACGCUGAGGAGCGAAAGCGUGGGUAGCGAACAGG
rnacentral:rRNA from 1 species